AGCCAGGCCUAAGGUCUUCUCAUUUGCACCAGGAUGACAGCAGUGUGCAGCUCUCCUCCAUGCUCCUCUUCAGUGGGGUGAUGAUGCUGCUAAAGAAAGAGGGGAAAAAGCCCCUGAAGCCACAGCAGAACCUGCUUCCACUCUUCCUCCACUGCUACGAUGAGAACCACAGAGUGGCAGAGGCCUCUCGGGAAGCGCUGCUUUGCUUGGCCGGCUUCCUGAAGAGGAGGGAUCUCAAGAAGAGGUUGAAGAAGGAGCUGUGGACAUUCAGCGAGUGCCUGCUGGAGAAGAGC